GUACCCACCUCCACCUUAUCUGCGCCCCCUCCUUCCAAAUAUAUCACACAGCCUAAAAUACCAUUUUUUUUUUCUCCCAGCCACAUCUCUCCCCUGAUUCCUCUAUGUCUCACACCACAGCGCCGCCGCCGCCGCCAACUCCGAUUCCGGGAGGCUCCGGUGGACUCCCAACCCACUGCUCACGGAUCUCCCCGACUCCCUCUAUGUUCUCCCCCGAUACUUCGCACCCGUCCACCGCGCCCCUGCACGCACGCCACGCAACAACCCUAGUCGCCAGGCGUCGCCGGCGUGGCUCCGGUAGCUCUGGUUUAUCAGCCAACUACCACUGCAUCACCUCACGCGCAGCAGCCGGCUCGGGAUUGACAUUGGUACUCCGUCUCUUCUACCUCGACUCUGACAUGGACAUGUCUGGCUCUGGUGUUUACUGUAUUAGAUUAGAUCUGAAUCACCAUGUGUUGAUCUAUACUACUUCUGGAUGAGUAGUACCCUGUCAUGUGUUAUGGUCAGACUUUCCUCUUACUAUAUAGAUGGAUCGAUGGAUAAUUAGGUAUUUUUUUCAAGUGAAAUUAAUCAUUACAUACUAGCAUGUAGCAUGACCUGUUCAAUAACAUCAAUGCAGUUUUCUUAUAAAGGAGAUCAACUUGGUUCAAAUUGGAGUGAGAUAGUGUAUCAGCGAUAUAUCAUAUGCGAUCAUGUAUGUCACCGGAGAAGACAGCAUAUUUAUCUACUACACUAGUGCAUUGCAAUAAAGAGAAAUCCAUGAAUAUGCAGAAGAAGCCUUGGGAAUUAUUUAAGUCAGUUGUUUAUAGCAUGGUGAGGAUCCUUUCGAUAGUUCAUGUUGUUCAUAUUAAUGUAAGGAAAACAUGAAUUUGUAUCGUAUUCUAUUUUUUCGGUUGAUAUUUUUCCCCCUGACCAAAAGUUACAUUAGUUUCAGCUUCUUAUUCAGUAAAAAUGGGCAUACUGCAAUCUCGAAUUUUAUGCAAAAUCUCAGAUGGAAAUAAUUCUUACACUCAUGUUAUCCAAAUAAUUUAUAAAAUCUGAAGGUGAGUUACAAGAACACCAUACCUUGAUAUUCUCAUCAUAUGUAUAUGACUCGUACUCUUGGAAUCUCACCUCUAAAUCGAGUUUAGUGCAUUUUUUUGGAAUUACAUGUACUUCAAUCUCUGUACUGAUUUUGUAUUUUGUGGGGAGCCACAGAUGUUUCCAAAUAGUAGAAGGAUGCAUGAUUGGUCAGCACACAAACUCUUGGCCAGGUUACAGAGACUCGAUUGUUCCAAGUUGAUGUUGUUGGCGCUAAAACAUAGAAGACCACUAGUGCCAAGGUGGAUUUACUAGGAGAUUGCAAUAUUCGAUGAUGCAUGGUUCAGAUGUUGAUUGCAAGGUCAAGAAUAGGGGUGCUACUAGAUAGUUUCACAUUGUGUCUUUUUCUAGUGCCAAUGUUUCAAUCAUUAUGUUUCUGAUAUUUUCUGUGUCAAUGUUUCGAUUAUUAUGUUUCAGAAUGGCUGAGACGUUGGUUGCAAGGUCAAGAAUGGGAUUAGUACUAGUUUCAAAUCUUGUAAUCUUUGUAUCGUGUCCUUUGUAAUACAAACAAGUUGAUUUAAUACAUGAGAAAUUUCUUUUUA